AUGGGGAGGACCAAACUCAGGACAUGGAGCUUGUGGAGACCAGGCCAGCAGGGGAUGGACCCUUCCAGAAGUGGGAAGCUGUGGUGGUGCCUUCUGGAGAAGAGCAGAGAUACACAUGCCAUGUGCAGCACGAGGGGCUGCCGGAGCCCCUCACCCUGAGGUGAGCACCAUCUCCCCAGCCCACCAUCCCCAUCGUGGGCAUCAGCGCUGGCCUGGCUGUCCCAGGAACUCUGGUCCCUGGAGUUGUGGUUGCUGCUUUGAUGUGGAGGAGGAAGAACUCAGGUAGAGAAGGGGUGAGGGGUGGGGUCUGGGUUUUCUUGUCCCACGGUGGUUUCAAGCCCCAGGUAGAAGCGUCCCCUGCCUGGUUACUGGGAAGCACCAUCCACACAUGGGCCGACCCCAGCCUGGGGCCCUGUGUGCCAGCACUUGGUCUUUUGUGAAGCACAUGUGACAAUGAAGGACAGAUCCAUCACCUUGGUGAUUGUGGUGUUGGGGUCCUGAUUUCAGCAUUCAUGAGUCAGGGGAAGGUCCCUGCUAAGGACAGACCUCAGGAGGGUAGGUGGUGCAGGACACACACCUGCUUUCCUUGUUUUCUGAUCCUGCCUGGGUUCUGAGUCAUAAUUCUGGAAACUUCUCUGGGGUCCAAGACUAGGAGGCUCCUCUAAGAUCUCAUGGCCCUACCUCCUCCCUAUUCCCUCACAGGACAUUUUCUUCCCACAAGUGGAAAAAGAGGGAGUUAAUCUCAGGUUGUGUAUAAGUGGUGGGGGCAGGCGUGUGGAGGAGCUCACCCACACCAUAAUUCCUCCUGUCCCACAUGUCCUGCAGGCUCUGACGGGGUCCUGUGUUUGUUCCACUCCAGGCCGCAACAGUGCCCGGGACUCUGACAUGUCUCUCAUGACUUCUAAAGCCUGAGACAGCUGCCUUGUGUGGGAUGGAGAUACAGGAUUUCUUCACACCUCCCCUUUGUGACUUGAAGAGCCUUUGGCAUCUCUUUCUGCAAAGGCAUCUGAAUGUGUCUGCGUCCCUGUUAGCAU